UUUGCUUUGGCUAGCUAGCACCAGAUGCCUAACCACAAACGAUCUCCGGUAGAAGCUAGAGACCCCACCGGUGCUCGCGCACGCACACAAAUGGGCUCGUGCCACACACCACACAGGCAGGAGCUUGGAAUGAAACACAGGAGAGCCCAGAAUGGGACAUAGUUCGAGUUGUUGGAGGUUUGUUUGGGAACACCAGAGGAGACGCUCUGCCUGCAUGUCGGCCCUCAAGACCGUGACUUCAGGCCAAAAGAGAUGAAGAUCCAACACAUGACCUUUGGCACAUUUGGCAGCUAGACAGCUGCGAGGGUUGCGGAGCUGCUGGUAAUAUUUCCUGUUCCUCUCUACAAAUACUACACCGGGCACUGGACUAAGACUGUCUGGAUUUGGCUAAAUCCUCAGGGAAAACCCCCGAGUGAAUAGAGAAUGUGUCAUUAUGUAAGGAUUGUACCACUUAUGAGCAAGCUGAAUCAAUAGUGAUUUUUAAAGUUAGGAAGUGUCACCUUUUUUCUCUUGAUCCUAAUCUAGUUAUUUUAAAGAGGACAUAUUAUGCUCAUUCUGAGGUUCCUUUUUGUAUUCGGAGCCUCUAAUGCAACACUUUUACAUGUUUUACUGUUCAAAUAGGUCUUUGCAUUUAACCAUGUGUAUACAACCUAAACAAUUCAAGAAUAAGACAAUGCAUCAAUGCAAUAUUCUGCUCUCUGAUGUCAAUCCUCCUUCCACUGUUUU